AUUGAACGCUGGCGGCAGGCCUAACACAUGCAAGUCGAACGGUAACAGGAAGAAGCUUGCUUCUUUGCUGACGAGUGGCGGACGGGUGAGUAAUGUCUGGGAAACUGCCUGGUGGAGGGGGAUAACUACUGGAAACGGUAGCUAAUACCGCAUAACGUCGCAAGACCAAAGAGGGGGACCUUCGGGGCCUCUUGCCAUCGGAUGUGCCCAGAUGGGAUUAGCUAGUAGGUGGGGUAACGGCUCACCUAGGCGACGAUCCCUAGCUGGUCUGAGAGGAUGACCAGCCACACUGGAACUGAGACACGGUCCAGACUCCUACGGGAGGCAGCAGUGGGGAAUAUUGCACAAUGGGCGCAAGCCUGAUGCAGCCAUGCCGCGUGUAUGAAGAAGGCCUUCGGGUUGU
rnacentral:rRNA from 1 species